rnacentral:rRNA from 1 species
CAGCCGCCGCGGUAAUACGGAGGGUGCGAGCGUUAAUCGGAAUUACUGGGCGUAAAGCGUACGCAGGCGGUUUGUUAAGUCAGAUGUGAAAUCCCCGAGCUUAACUCGGGAACUGCAUCUGAAACUGGCAGGCUAGAGUCUCGUAGAGGGGGGUAGAAUUCCAGGUGUAGCGGUGAAAUGCGUAGAGAUCUGGAGGAAUACCGGUGGCGAAGGCGGCCCCCUGGACGAAGACUGACGCUCAGGUACGAAAGCGUGGGGAGCAAACAGGAUUAGAUACCCCGGUAGUCCCUGUCUCUUAUAA